GACGAACGCUGGCGGCGUGCUUAACACAUGCAAGUCGAACGGAAAGGCCCUGCUUUUGUGGGGUGCUCGAGUGGCGAACGGGUGAGUAACACGUGAGUAACCUGCCCUUGACUUUGGGAUAACUUCAGGAAACUGGGGCUAAUACCGGAUAGGAGCUCCUGCUGCAUGGUGGGGGUUGGAAAGUUUCGGCGGUUGGGGAUGGACUCGCGGCUUAUCAGCUUGUUGGUGGGGUAGUGGCUUACCAAGGCUUUGACGGGUAGCCGGCCUGAGAGGGUGACCGGCCACAUUGGGACUGAGAUACGGCCCAGACUCCUACGGGAGGCAGCAGUGGGGAAUAUUGCACAAUGGGCGGAAGCCUGAUGCAGCAACGCCGCGUGCGGGAUGACGGCCUUCGGGUUGUAAACCGCUUUCGCCUGUGACGAAGCGUGAGUGACGGUAAUGGGUAAAGAAGCACCGGCUAACUACGUGCCAGCAGCCGCGGUGAUACGUAGGGUACGAGCGUUGUCCGGAUUUAUUGGGCGUAAAGGGCUCGUAGGUGGUCGAUCGCGUCGGAAGUGUAAUCUUGGGACUUAACCCUGAGCGUGCUUUCGAUACGGGUUGACUUGAGGAAGGUAGGGGAGAAUGGAAUUCCUGGUGGAGCGGUGGAAUGCGCAGAUAUCAGGAGGAACACCAGUGGCGAAGGCGGUUCUCUGGGCCUUUCCUGACGCUGAGGAGCGAAAGCGUGGGGAGCGAACAGGCUUAGAUACCCUGGUAGUCCACGCUGUAAACGGUGGGUACUAGGUGUGGGGUCCAUUCCACGGGUUCCGUGCCGUAGCUAACGCUUUAAGUACCCCGCCUGGGGAGUACGGCCGCAAGGCUAAAACUCAAAGGAAUUGACGGGGCCCCGCACAAGCGGCGGAGCAUGCGGAUUAAUUCGAUGCAACGCGUAGAACCUUACCUGGGUUUGACAUGGAUCGGGAGCGCUCAGAGAUGGGUGUGCCUCUUUUGGGGUCGGUUCACAGGUGGUGCAUGGCUGUCGUCAGCUCGUGUCGUGAGAUGUUGGGUUAAGUCCCGCAACGAGCGCAACCCUUGUUCACUGUUGCCAGCACGUUAUGGUGGGGACUCAGUGGAGACCGCCGGGGUCAACUCGGAGGAAGGUGGGGAUGACGUCAAGUCAUCAUGCCCCUUAUGUCCAGGGCUUCACGCAUGCUACAAUGGCUGGUACAGAGAGUGGCGAGCCUGUGAGGGUGAGCGAAUCUCGGAAAGCCGGUCUCAGUUCGGAUUGGGGUCUGCAACUCGACCUCAUGAAGUCGGAGUCGCUAGUAAUCGCAGAUCAGCAACGCUGCGGUGAAUACGUUCCCGGG
rnacentral:rRNA from 1 species